rnacentral:misc_RNA from 1 species
AACGCACAUUGCACCUAUUAGCAUUCUAGUAGGUAUGCCUGUCCGAGCGUCAUUUCAACCCUCAGGCCUCACGCUUUCAGCGGGAGGAGCCUGGUGUUGGGGGUCUCUCCCCCCGCGGCUCCGGCCGCGGGGCCCCCGAAAGCCAUCGGCGGUGCCUGCCAGCACUCCGGGCGCAGUAGAACACACCUCGCCCUGGACGUCUGGCGGCGCGCUGGCCGCUAAAAAGGGUCGAGCCGCAGCGGCUCGACCGCUAAUCACAAUGGUUGACCUCGGAUCAGGUAGGAAUACCCGCUGAACUUAA